rnacentral:misc_RNA from 1 species
UCCGAGUUGACCCCGGCAGUCUCCUAUGAGUCCCCGGCAUAACCCGCUGGCAACAUAGGACGAGGGUUGCGCUCGUUGCGGGACUUAACCCAACAUCUCACGACACGAGCUGACGACAACCAUGCACCACCUGUUCAGGGCCCUUGCGGACCUCACAUCUCUGUGAGAUUUCCCUGCAUGUCAAGCCCUGGUAAGGUUCUUCGCGUUGCGUCGAAUUAAGCCACAUGCUCCGCCGCUUGUGCGGGUCCCCGUCAAUUCCUUUGAGUUUUAGCCUUGCGGCCGUACUCCCCAGGCAGAGCACUUAAUGCGUUAGCUGCGGCACCGGAGGGGUCGAUACCCCCGACACCUAGUGCUCACCGUUUACGGCGUGGACUAC